rnacentral:rRNA from 1 species
AACGAACGCUGGCGGCAUGCCUAACACAUGCAAGUCGAACGAAGUCUUCGGACUUAGUGGCGCACGGGUGCGUAACGCGUGGGAAUCUGCCCUUGGGUACGGAAUAACUCAGAGAAAUUUGUGCUAAUACCGUAUAAUGUCUUCGGAUCAAAGAUUUAUCGCCCAAGGAUGAGCCCGCGUAAGAUUAGCUAGUUGGUGGGGUAAAAGCCUACCAAGGCGACGAUCUUUAGCUGGUCUGAGAGGAUGAUCAGCCACACUGGGACUGAGACACGGCCCAGACUCCUACGGGAGGCAGCAGUGGGGAAUAUUGGACAAUGGGCGAAAGCCUGAUCCAGCAAUGUCGCGUGAGUGAUGAAGGCCUUAGGGUUGUAAAGCUCUUUUACCAGGGAUGAUAAUGACAGUACCUGGAGAAUAAGCUCCGGCUAACUCCGUGCCAGCAGCCGCCGUAAUAC